rnacentral:tRNA from 1 species
GCCCGGAUAGCCUGUCGGUAGAGCAGGGGAUUGAAAACCGUGUCCUUGGUUCGAUUCCGAGUCCGGGCACCA